AAAAAUUCAAAGAGCCCUUUCAGUGAACAUUUGGGUCAGAACUUUUAUUGUAUAAAUAGGCACCUGCUGCACAGAGCUGUGGCAGUGAGCAUGUAGGCAUAUGCUGCUUUUCCAGCAUCUCUUCUAGGGGAAUCUCUGAUCUGGCCCCAUACCUGCCUGCUUCUAGCAUGCUUCUGCUUCUGCUUCUUCAGGGAAAACACUGCCUGUAUUUUAACCUUUACAUGCUUCUUUCCUCCUCCCAAACAAGUUUAUUCAACAUUUUCUUCCUAGAGCUGGAACAUCUAACAAAAAAUUAUAAAGGCAAAGAUCCUGCAAACCCUUUUGUGAAAAUGAAGGCAGCAUUCCAGGCCUGCAAGAUUGGUUCCACGUUCAUCUUAACACCGGUUUGAACCGAAACCUUUCUGCUGGUUUGAACCAAAACCAAGACACCCCUGGUUUUAGGAUUUUGUAAACCUCAUAUCCGCCCAUCUUGUCUUCAAACUGAAGAGCUCUGGCCUUGUGAGUAAGGGGAGCUGCUCUUCAUCCUUGGUCAUUAUCUGACACUUUUUAUACCUUCUUAAA
rnacentral:lncRNA from 12 species